UGACCCAAAUUCGACGAUGUAACAGUUACAUGAAGCAAUAUAUAGCAAAUAAUGAAAGAAAUAAUGAAAUGUUUAAUAGCACAAAAUAAUAUUUUAAACUCGGCUGUAUUACUUUGAAAUGAUUCCAAGACAAUAAUCAUCCAUUUAAUCAAUACAAAUAGAACAUCGUCGAAUUUAGGUGUCGUCGAAUUUGGGUUGCGGUAGGAUACUUUAACGAUAUGUCAAUACUAUACAAACUGUACGCUGAAGUUCCUUUAGCUAGGGAAAAAUAGGGUAAAAUUAAAACUUGCACAAGUUCAUUAUUUAAUUGAAUAUCACAAUGAAAGUAUAGACAGACAUAAAAUCCAAUCUGCACUUUAAAAUUGUCUUAUUUCUAAUUUAUUUCGGCCGACGAAGGCACAUGCGAUUUUAGGGUGGUCAACAUUCAAUGGGGCUUGAUCAUACGAACCACAAAUGACCUCAUCGUACAGGCCCGCGAGAGUUUAGCUAAAGAAACUUCAGCGUACAGUUUAUAUAGUAUUGACAGACCUGUACGCUGAAGCUAACCCCGUAUCGAAAGUCAACCAGAGUCGUAACAUAUUUAUGUCACGCUAUAAAUCAAAGAAAGCUCAUUUUCUUGGAUACAUUUCUACAUAUAUUAGUGAAUGAAUAUAAAUUACUGCAUCGAGGAAUGUUUUAAGGUUCAGAUGUUUCAAAUGCAUCUUACAUUAGAUGAAAAUAACUCUCAUCAGUCUGAAAUUCACAAUUUUGACGCCAUUGUUGCUUUGUCACGUGACGAGUUUUCAUUUGGAUACUUUCGGAUAAACCGUGACAUUUUAUGCUGAAAUUGUAAACAUUACUUUCGUUUUCUGAAAUCUAUUAUUUGUGAUUAACAACUUACGUCUGGUGGAUUAUAAGACUGAUUUCAGUGUGAAUCAGAAUGACACGACCAAUCGCUUUGUUUUGCUUGUAUACGCAAUAGCCAGAGGUUUCCGGCGGUCCAUUUUGUCCCAGGAAAGAACCGUCUCCAGACCACGUCCGUCCGUAUGAACACGGGUACCCUAAUUCAGAAAACAUGGUUCUGGCAGUGAGAUUUCGGCAAAAGCAAAAAUGUUGCAGACACACAGGGACACAGAGAAACACAAAAGGCUUUAGUGCGUUUAAACAAGACGAGGCAACAACUUUCAGAACUAUCCACUACUUUAGAUGAACAACGGAGUGAUUUAGAUCUACCUGCGAGUCGAACGGGUAAAAUGUCACGUCGUACUGACAAGUUGAGUGAAAGACCGACGCAAGCUGGACUGACAGGUUGAGUGAAAGACCGACGCAAGCUGCACAAUCACUUUCCCGUGAUGCGAAACGCGUGCUGCCAUCCAUGCGUCGUCCACUAUACUGAAACCUUCUGAAAACUGAUUAAGAAGAACGAGGCUGGGAUACCAUAUGUCUCUUAUUGGGAAAACCAGGCUCUGUUCCCCUGUCGCCUGUGGGUUCCACUUGCAGAUCUUAUCUGUCCACGCCAAUGUCAUGUUGCCAACAACUGAAAACUUGUCAUCCACCUCGCUUACGUCCUGAAAAUUUAAAGUAUGUUUUGAGUUAUAAUUCAUACUGUUAUUAUGUCCAAUAAAAUACUGAAAUAGUAUUAUGAAUUAUACAAAAGAAAGGCAUUGGGCACAAUAAAUAAGAGUUUUAAUAUCUCAAGCAUAUAUGGAGUUUACAGUCGAAUAAUAUUCUACUGCUAAGGCUAACACUUGAUUGGUGAGAAUACCGAGAAACUCAGCCUCGGCUAACACUUGAUUGGUGAGAAUACCGAGAAACUCAGCCUCGGCUAACACUUGAUUGGUGAGAAUACCGAGAAAAUCGGCCUCGGCUAACACUUGAUUGGUGAGAAUACCGAGAAACUCAGCCUCGGCUAACAAUUGAUUGGUGAGAAUACCGAGAAACUCAGCCUCGGACAAAUCUUCUGAUGGAAGUUAAAAUGGAUAUGACAUAUGCGUUUAAAAUAUGGGUUACUUUAAGGAAAAUGUAUGUACUCGUAUUUAAAUUCUCUGUUGAGUAUCGAAUUGUUCUUAUUUAAAUAAAUAACAUGUAACUCUAUGUAGUAUAAUACUUAAAUGACCCAUUAAUUCUUAAUUGUUAAUGUCCGCGUAUUUAAUUAUUAUAUUUUUUAGUAUAUCUCUGUGUAACAAACUCUACCAGACUUAUAUGCACAGCAAAACUGGCAUUGUUUGUCCAU